AAAAGCUGAGGCUCUGGACUUGAGAGACGUGCGGCAAUGAAGACACUUCACCUUCUGUCAUUCUGCCUGCUCAUGGUAGCAAAUGAGACAAGGAAGUUUGAGGAUUGUGAAUUGUUUUACAAGCUGAGAGAUCUGGGGCUGGAUGGCUUUCGCGGUAUUGACGUAAAACAAUGUGAGUCUUGUUUGUUGGACGUACAAUGUCCAGCUGCUCUGUUAGGAUAAAUGUACACCCAAUUUGUUGUGGAUCCCAACCUCCCUUUGGUUUCUCAUUUCUAGAUGACAUGUGUAGCAAUUUAUAUGGAUUUGUUUGGGUUUUUUGUUUACAGUAUUAUUGUUAUUAUCUCUGACCAUUUUAAAAUAAUGUGGCAUAUCUGAAAAAUGAGAACUGACAGAGCAGGCAAGAUUGAAAAUAAAGAGUCUUGUGGCACCUUAAAGGCUGACACAUUUAUGAUAUAAUAAUUUUUUAUGAACUUCAUCAGUUGCAAGAUUAAAGGUAAAGGUAAAGGUAAAGGGACCCCUGACCGUUAGGUCCAAUCGUGACCGACUCUGGGGUUGCGGCGCUCAUCUUGCUUUAUUGGCCAAGGCAGCCGGUGUACAGCUUCCAGGUCAUGUGGCCAGCAUGACUAAGCCGCUUCUGGCAAACCAGAGCAGCGCACGGAAACGCCUUUUACCUUCCUGCCGGAGCGAUACCUAUUUAUCUACUUGCACUUUGAUGUGCUUUUGAACUGCUAGGUUGGCAGGAGCAGGGACCGAGCAACGGGAGCUUACCCCGUCUCAGGGAUUCAAACCGCCGACCUUAUGAUCGGCAAGUCGUAGGCUCUGUGGUUUAACCCACAGCGCCACCCGCGUCCCCAAGAUUAAAGGUAGCACUGGAUAAUUCAUAAUGUUUUAGGAAAAUGUUAAAAGCUGUUAGAAACAUUGCUAUUUUAAGAAUACUGAAAUAGAAACAACAGCAUUUCAAAACUCAGAAUGUCAAAACCAAGAAAGUUUAUGUCAAUGUUUUGAAAGUGUUUAAACAGCAGGAUUUUUGGAGAAGUUUUAAAAAUGCUUUUCUGUUUCUGUGUUUGGGAACUGAUUUUAGGAAAGAAAGGACACUCUGAGUCCCUGGUUUUUAUACUUUGCUUCCCUACCAGAUGUCUGUAUGGCUGGAUUCCCAGCUAAUUACAACACUGAAUACUACGAGACAGAAGAGGGUGUCCCACACUACGGGCUAUUCCAUCUGAGCGGCCAGGAAUGGUGCUUUAAUGAGAGGCGGCCCUCACAGAACAAAUGCAACAUUUCCUGUGAUUGUGAGUGACCCUUUUUUUCCUGCUUGUGCCAUGUACUGUAUGUCUCAAGAUG